CCUGACAGAUUUCCAGUCCCGCCUGAAACAAUUUGUGUGUGAAUCAUCUCCCAGCAACUCAGCAGAGGCACCGGGGUGCAAGCUCUGCCCCCCAGACUGGCUGCUGCACCGGGACAAGUGCUACUGGGUGUCUAAAGACAAAGCUUCCUGGAACGAGAGCUGCAAUAACUGUUCAAGGAGGGGCUCCCGACUGCCAGUGAUCCGGGACCAGGCUGAGAUGAUUUUCAUUAAAACAAAUUCCAAAGACACAAACGAGGUCUGGCUCGGACUCACUGUUACAUCCCCUGCAAGGAACUGGACAUAGAUGGAUGGGUCCCUGUUAAAUCGAACACUGUUCAAGUUAGUGAAUCCUCCUGAAGGAAACAGCUGUGGGGUGUUAAAAGCAGAUGUGAUUCAUUUUGAAAGCUGCAGCGCUGCAUCUAAGUGGAUUUGUCAAAGAGACGCUCUCCAGAUAUAGACGGUGAUAUUAGUGAUCUGUAGUUUUAUAUGCAAACAAUCAGUCAU